UACGUAGGUGGCAAGCGUUGUCCGGAAUUACUGGGUGUAAAGGGAGCGCAGGCGGGAAGCCAAGUCAGCUGUGAAAACUACGGGCUUAACUUGUAGACUGCAGUUGAAACUGGUUUUCUUGAGUGAAGUAGAGGUUGGCGGAAUUCCGAGUGUAGCGGUGAAAUGCGUCGAUAUUCGGAGGAACACCGGUGGCGAAGGCGGCCAACUGGGCUUUAACUGACGCUGAGGCUCGAAAGUGUGGGGAGCAAACAGG
rnacentral:rRNA from 1 species